AGGAGCCGUGUGAGGGGAAACUCUCACGCACGGUUUUGAAGGAGAGGUUGCCUAUAGCGAUAUAGGGAAUCGACUCUAAC
rnacentral:ncRNA from 1 species